AACGAACGCUGGCGGCAUGCCUAACACAUGCAAGUCGAACGAGACCUUCGGGUCUAGUGGCGCACGGGUGCGUAACGCGUGGGAACCUGCCCUUAGGUUCGGAAUAACUCCCCGAAAGGGGUGCUAAUACCGGAUAAUGUCUUCGGACCAAAGAUUUAUCGCCUUUGGAUGGGCCCGCGUUGGAUUAGCUAGUUGGUAGGGUAAAAGCCUACCAAGGCGACGAUCCAUAGCUGGUCUGAGAGGAUGAUCAGCCACACUGGGACUGAGACACGGCCCAGACUCCUACGGGAAGCAGCAGUGGGGAAUAUUGGACAAUGGGCGAAAGCCUGAUCCAGCAAUGCCGCGUGAGUGAUGAAGGCCUUAGGGUUGUAAAGCUCUUUUACCCGGGAUGAUAAUGACAGUACCGGGAGAAUGAGCUCCGGCUAACUCCGUG
rnacentral:rRNA from 1 species